UUAAAUAGAUUAAAAUAAAUCGUGAGGCUGUUAACCUUGAGAUAGUGUCUUCAUUUUUAAG
rnacentral:tRNA from 1 species